GACGAACGCUGGCGGCGUGCUUAACACAUGCAAGUCGAACGGAAAGGCCCUGCUUGCAGGGUACUCGAGUGGCGAACGGGGGAGUAACACGUGGGUGAUCUGCCCUGCACUUCGGGAUAAGCCUGGGUAACUGGGUCUAAUACCGGAUAGUAGCCAUUUUUAGUGUGAUGGUUGGAAAGUUUUUUCGGUGUAGGAUGAGCUCGCGGCCUAUCAGCGUGUUGGUGGGGUAAUGGCAUACCAAGGCGGCGACGGGGAGCCGGCCUGAGAGGGUGGACGGCCACAGUGGGACUGAGCUAAGGCCCAGACUCAGACGGGAGGAAGCGGCAGGGGAUGUUGCACAAUGGGCGCAAGCCUGAGGCAGCGACGCCGGGUGGGGGAUGACGACCUUGGGGUUGUAAGCUCAUUUCGCUAGGGACGAGGCUUUUUGUGACGGUACCUAGAGAAGAAGCACCGGCUAACUACGUG
rnacentral:rRNA from 1 species